rnacentral:rRNA from 1 species
AGACCAGUAUGAAUGGCAAGACGAAAGUUCAACUGUCUCCCUAAAUUAAUCAAUGAAAUUGAUUUUUCCGUGCAGAAGCGGAAAUAUAAUUAUAAGACGAGAAGACCCUAUGGAGCUUUAAACAUAUGAUCAAUUGCGUAACAUAUCCAAAAGAUAAAAUAUUUAAUAAAACAAUAUGAUCAAAAUUUUAGGUUGGGGCGACCACGGGGAAAAACAAAACCUCCGAGAUGAAGAGAAUAUCUUAAUUCAAGAACUACAAUUCUAAAAAAUAAAAUAUUUAACAUAAUUGAUCCAAUACAUUGAUCAACGAACCAAGUUACCCUAGGGAUAACAGCGCAAUCCUCUCCAAGAGUCCCUAUCGACGAGCGGGUUUACGACCUCGAUGUUGGAUCAGGACACCCCAAUGGUGCAGCCGCUAUUAAAGGUUCGUUUGUUCAACGAUUAAAGUCCUACGUGAUC